rnacentral:lncRNA from 1 species
GGAGGACCAUCCAAGAUCAACAUAGGUCCUUUAACAAGAGCCAUGUCCAAGAGAAUCCAAGAGGAAGAGGGAGCACUCACUACUUUACUCUUAUGGAGUAUUAGUUACUAAAACCUCUUUCUCUUUGCUAAAUAAACUUUACUUUGUUUUGUAGGUUCUUAAUAAAGAGGAGAAACCAUGUACAUACAAAUAAGGAGAAACCAUGUACAUACAAAUAAGGAACCAAAAAGGGAAGCAGAUGGCGC